GAUCCUGGCUCGGGAUGAACGCUAGCUACAGGCUUAACACAUGCAAGUCGAGGGGCAGCAUGUUGGUUGCUUGCAACCAACGAUGGCGACCGGCGCACGGGUGAGUAACGCGUAUCCAACCUGCCCUUGUCCAUCGGAUAACCCGUCGAAAGGCGGACUAACACGAUAUGCAGUUCACAGCAGACACCUAACGUGAACGAAAUGUGAAGGAGAAGGAUGGGGAUGCGUCUGAUUAG
rnacentral:rRNA from 1 species